rnacentral:rRNA from 1 species
UAUGUGAUCGUCUCUCGCAUAUCAAUAAGCGGAGGAAAAGAAACUAACAAGGAUUCCCCUAGUAACGGCGAGUGAAGCGGGAAGAGCUCAAAUUUGAAAUCUUAAAGGGUUUCCCCUUACGAAUUGUAGUUUAAAGAAGUGUUUUCUGUUGAGGUUUUGGUAAAGGUUCUUUGGAAUAGGACAUCAUAGAGGGUGAGAAUCCCGUAUUUGACCUUUACUUUCAACUUUGUGAUACACUUUCAAAGAGUCGGAUUGUUUGGGAAUGCAGUCCAAAAUGGGUGGUAAAUUUCAUCUAAAGCUAAAUAUUGGCGAGAGACCGAUAGCGAACAAGGUACCGUGAGGGAAAGAUGAAAAGAACUUUGAAAAGAGAGUUAAACAGUACGUGAAAUUGUCAAAAGGGAAGCGUUUGACACCAGUGUUGUUUUUCUGAAAAUCAAUUAAAGAACUGUUUAUGCUAAGUUGUUUAGACUUUAUCAGCUAAUCUGUUUAGUUUUGAGCUUUUCUUUAAUGCACUUUUCAGUUAACAAGUCAACAUCAAUUUCUUUUGCUGUAAAAAAGCUUGAGGAAGGUGGCUUGAGAUUCGUCUUAAGUGUUUAUAGCCUCUUGCCUAUGCAGUCGGAGAGAUUGAGGUCUGCAGCGUAGAUCCUUCGGGGCUAAAUGCAUUUGUGCUAAGUUAUAGCAUUUUAUAGACAACUUGUUGACUAUGAUUUGUCUUGUAGCUUACUCGCUUAUGUUAUUUUACCUACGCUUAGGAUGUUGAGUAGCGACAUACGCAC